UACGUAGGUGGCAAGCGUUGUCCGGAUUUAUUGGGUUUAAAGGGUGCGCAGGCGGCCCUGUAAGUCAGUGCUGAAAUAUCCCAGCUUAACUGGGAGGGUGGCAUUGAUACUGCGGGGCUAGAGUACAGAUGAGGUAGGCGGAAUUGAUGGUGUAGCGGUGAAAUGCUUAGAUAUCGUCAAGAACACCUAUAGCGAAGGCAGCUUACUAGGCUGUAACUGACGCUGAGGCACGAAAGUGUGGGGAUCAAACAGG
rnacentral:rRNA from 1 species